AUACAGGGUGACAGCCCCGUACACAAAAGCGCAUGUGCUGUGAGCUCGAUGAGUAGGGCGGGACACGUGGUAUCCUGUCUGAAUAUGGGGGGACCAUCCUCCAAGGCUAAAUACUCCUGACUGACCGAUAGUGAACCAGUACCGUGAGGGAAAGGCGAAAAGAACCCCGGCGAGGGGAGUGAAAAAGAACCUGAAACCGUGUACGUACAAGCAGUGGGAGCACAGGUUUACCUGUGUGACUGCGUACCUUUUGUAUAAUGGGUCAGCGACUUAUAUUCUGUAGCAAGGUUAACCGCAUAGGGGAGCCGGAGGGAAACCGAGUCUUAAUUGGGCGUUAAGUUGCAGGGUAUAGACCCGAAACCCGGUGAUCUAGCCAUGGGCAGGUUGAAGGUUGGGUAACACUAACUGGAGGACCGAACCGACUAAUGUUGAAAAAUUAGCGGAUGACCUGUGGCUGGGGGUGAAAGGCCAAUCAAACCGGGAGAUAGCUGGUUCUCCCCGAAAGCUAUUUAGGUAGCGCCUCGUGAAUUCAUCUCCGGGGGUAGAGCACUGUUUCGGCUAGGGGGCCAUCCCGGCUUACCAACCCGAUGCAAACUGCGAAUACCGGAGAAUGUUAUCACGGGAGACACACGGCGGGUGCUAACGUCCGUCGUGAAGAGGGAAACAACCCAGACCGCCAGCUAAGGUCCCAAAGUCAUGGUUAAG
rnacentral:rRNA from 1 species